rnacentral:rRNA from 2 species
GAGCGAUGAAACUUUAACAGAACCCUUCGGGGCGAAGAUAAGUGGAUUAGCGGCGGACGGGUGAGUAACACGUGAGUAACCUGCCUUAGACAUUGGGAUAGCCUCGGGAAACCGGGAUUAAUACCAAAUAAAAUUAUAAUGACACAUGUCAUAACGAUCAAAACUCCGGUGGUCUAAGAUGGACUCGCGUCCCAUUAGCUAGUUGGUAGAGUAAAAGCCUACCAAGGCGACGAUGGGUAGCCGGCCUGAGAGGGUGAACGGCCACAUUGGAACUGAGAAACGGUCCAAACUCCUACGGGAGGCAGCAGUGGGGAAUAUUGCACAAUGGAGGGAACUCUGAUGCAGCGACGCCGCGUGAACGAAGAAGGCUUUCGAGUCGUAAAGUUCUUUUAUAUGGGAAGAUAAUGACGGUACCAUAAGAAAAAGCCCCGGCUAACUACGUGCCAGCAGCCGCGGUAAUACGUAGGGGGCUAGCGUUGUCCGGAACCACUGGGCGUAAAGGGUUCGCAGGCGGAAAUGCAAGUCAGAUGUAAAAGGCAGUAGCUUAACUACUGUAAGCAUUUGAAACUGCAUAUCUUGAGAGGAGUAGAGGUAAGUGGAAUUUUUAGUGUAGCGGUGAAAUGCGUAGAUAUUAAAAAGAAUACCGGUGGCGAAGGCGACUUACUGGGCUCAUUCUGACGCUGAGGAACGAAAG